rnacentral:rRNA from 1 species
CGCUCUAGGUGCUCUUCACUGAGUGUCUAGAGUGGCUGGAACUUUUACUUUGAAAAAAUUAGAGUGCUCAAAGCAGGCGUCUCAGCCUGAAUAGUGGUGCAUGGAAUAAUGGAAUAGGACCUCAGUUCUAUUUUGUUGGUUUUCGGAACAUGAGGUAAUGAUUAAGAGGGACAGACGGGGGCAUUCGUAUUGCGACGUUAGAGGUGAAAUUCUUGGAUCGUCGCAAGACGAACUACUGCGGAAGCAUUUGCCAAGAAUGUUUUCAUUAAUCAAGGACGAUUGUUAGAGGUUCGAAGGCGAUCAGAUACCGCCCUUGUUCUAACCGUAAACGAUGUCAACCAGCGAUCCGCAGGUGUUAUUCAUGACUCUGCGGGCAGCUUCCGGGAAACCAAAGUUUUUGGAUUCCGGGGGGAGUAUGGUUGCAAAGCUGAAACUUAAAGGAAUUGACGGAAGGGCACCACCAGGAGAGGAGCCUGCGGCUUUUUUUGACUCAACGCGGGGUUACUCUCCCGGCCCGGACACCGUUAGGUUUGUCUGUUUGAGAGCUCUUUCUUGAUUCGGUGGGUGGUGGUGCAUGGCCGUUCUUAGUUGGUGGAGCGAUUUGUCUGGUUAAUUCCGAUAACGAACGAGACUCUAGCCUACUAAAAUAGAAGGCAAAAUAUUCGUUUGCUGUACUUCUUAGAGGGACUAGGGGCGUC